GGGAGGUAGUGACGAAAAAUAACGAUACGGGACUCAUCCGAGGCCCCGUAAUCGGAAUGAGUAUACUCUAAAUCCUUAUACGAGUAUCAAUUGGAGGGCAAGUCUGGUGCCAGCAGCCGCGGUAAUUCCAGCUCCAAUAGCGUAUAUUAAAGUUGUUGCGGUUAAAAAGCUCGUAGUUGGAUCUGUGUCCCGCGCCGUCGGUUCACCGCCUGUCGGUGUCCAACUGGCGUGUAUGCGGGACGUCCUGCCGGUGGCGGUCCGGCUCCGGGCGCGUCCGUAGGGGCCUCCCUUGCUUUCGCUCGCGGCGGACCCGAAGGGUCGCCCGGGUGUCCGGCCGCCUUUUCGAUCCCGUCGCGGUGCUCUUCACCGGGUGUCGAGGCGGGCCGGCACGUUUACUUUGAACAAAUUAGAGUGCUUUAAGCAGGCGCUGUCUUGCCUGCAUGUUGUGUGCAUGGAAUAAUGGAAUAGGACCUCGGUUCUAUUUUGUUGGUUUUCGGAAUCUGAGGUAAUGAUCAAUGGGGACAGGCGGGGGCAUUCGUAUUGCGACGUUAGAGGUGAAAUUCUUGGAUCGUCGCAAGACGGACCGAAGCGAAAGCAUUUGCCAAGUAUGUUCUCGUCGAUCAAGAACGAAAGUUAGAGGUUCGAAGGCGAUCAGAUACCGCCCUAGUUCUAACCAUAAACUAUGCCUGCCAGCGAUCCGCCGAAGUUCCUCCGAUGACUCGGCGGGCAGCUUCCGGGAAACCAGAGCUUUUGGGUUCCGGGGGAAGUAUGGUUGCAAAGCUGAAACUUAAAGGAAUUGACGGAAGGGCACCACCAGGAGUGGAGCCUGCGGCUUAAUUUGACUCAACACGGGAAAACUCACCAGGCCCGGACACCGGAAGGAUUGACAGAUUGAGAGCUCUUUCUUGAUUCGGUGGGUGGUGGUGCAUGGCCGUUCUUAGUUGGUGGAGCGAUUUGUCUGGUUAAUUCCGAUAACGAACGAGACUCUAGCCUACUAACUAGGCGUACCCGGUAUCCACAAUCGUGCUACCGGCGAUCAAAUUUCUUCUUAGAGGGACAGGCGGCUUCUAGCCGCACGAGACUGAGCAAUAACAGGUCUGUGAUGCCCUUAGAUGUCCUGGGCCGCACGCGCGCUACACUGAAGGAAUCAGCGUGUCUUCCCUGUCCGAAAGGACCGGGUAACCCGCUGAACCUCCUUUGUGCUAGGGAUUGGGGCUUGCAAUUGUUCCCCAUGAACGAGGAAUUCCCAGUAAGCGCGAGUCAUAAGCUCGCGUUGAUUACGU
rnacentral:rRNA from 1 species